AACGAACGCUGGCGGCGUGCCUAACACAUGCAAGUCGAACGAGCAAGGGGCUUCGGCUCUGAGUAAAGUGGAGCACGGGUGAGUAACACGUGGGUAACCUGCCUCUAAGAUUGGGAUAACUCGUCGAAAGAUGAGCUAAUACAGAAUAAGACCAUAGUUUCCGCGGGAACAGGCGUUAAAGGUAGCCUCUGCUUGCAAGCCAUCUCUUAGAGAUGGGCCUGCGUACCAUUAGCUAGUUGGUAGGGUAACGGCCUACCAAAGCAAAGAUGGUUAGCUGGACUGGGGGGAUGGACAGCCACACUGGGACUGGGACACGGUCCCAGCUCCUACGGGGGGCAGCAAUGGGGAAUAUUGCGCAAUGGGCGAAAGCUUGGCGCGGCAACGCCGCGGGAGUGAUGAAGGCCUUCGGGUCGUAAAGCUCGGUCGGGUGGGACGAAUGCUCCGGGGAUUAACAGCCUCGGGAGGUGACGGUACCUUCAAAGAAAGCACCGGCUAACUCUGUG
rnacentral:rRNA from 1 species